AAUAGAUACCCAGGUAGUCACGCCGUAAACGAUGAGUGCUAAGUGUUAGAGGGUUUCCGCCCUUUAGUGCUGCAGCUAACGCAUUAAGCACUCCGCCUGGGGAGUACGGCCGCAAGGCUGAAACUCAAAGGAAUUGACGGGGGCCCGCACAAGCGGUGGAGCAUGUGGUUUAAUUCGAAGCAACGCGAAGAACCUUACCAGGUCUUGACAUCCUCUGCCAACCCUAGAGAUAGGGCGUUCCCCUUCGGGGGACAGAGUGACAGGUGGUGCAUGGUUGUCGUCAGCUCGUGUCAUGAGAUGUUGGGUUAAGUCCCGCAACGAGCGCAACCCUUGAUCUUAGUUGCCAGCAUUCAGUUGGGCACUCUAAGGUGACUGCCGGUGACAAACCGGAGGAAGGUGGGGAUGACGUCAAAUCAUCAUGCCCCUUAUGACCUGGGCUACACACGUGCUACAAUGGAUGGUACAAAGAGCUGCGAACCCGCGAGGGUAAGCCAAUCUCAUAAAGCCAUUCUCAGUUCGGAUUGGU
rnacentral:rRNA from 1 species